rnacentral:other from 1 species
UACGCCCUACCUUGUGCGUGCAUCGGCUUUCGGUUGAGCCCUACUUGAGCGAAUCGGGAUGCGGGGACCAGGCUCGUCACAUGCGACGUUCCGCUCCGCGACCCACCUGUUAAAUCAGGUUCAUAUCGCUCGCUGACACGGCGAGGUGGGGCGUUU